rnacentral:rRNA from 1 species
GAGUUUGAUCGUGGCUCAGGACGAACGCUGGCGGCGUGCUUAACACAUGCAAGUGGAGCGACGAACCAGGGCUUGCCCUGGGCAGAGCCGCGAACGGGUGAGUAACACGUGGGUAACCUACCCCGAUGACCGGGACAAACCCGAGGAAACUCGGGCUAAUACCGGAUGAACUCUUCUCACAUGAGUGAGAUUUGAAAAGGAGCUUCGGCCUCCGCAUUGGGAUGGGCCCGCGGCCCAUUAGCUUGUUGGUGGGUAACGCCUACCAAGGCUUCGAUGGGUAGCUGGUCUGAGAGGACGAUCAGCCACACUGGGACUGAGACACGGCCCAGACUCCUACGGGAGGCAGCAGUGGGGAAUCUUGCGCAAUGCGCGAAAGCGUGACGCAGCAACGCCGCGUGCGGGAAGACGGCCUCGGUU